rnacentral:rRNA from 1 species
GACGAACGCUGGCGGCGUGCCUAAUACAUGCAAGUCGAACGAGAGCGGCCGGUGCUUGCACUGGUCAAUCUAGUGGCGAACGGGUGAGUAACACGUGGGUAACCUGCCCAUCAGAGGGGGAUAACAUCCGGAAACGGAUGCUAGAACCGCAUAGGUCUUCGAGCCGCAUGGCUUGAAGAGGAAAAGAGGCGCAAGCUUCUGCUGAUGGAUGGACCCGCGGUGCAUUAGCUAGUUGGUGAGGUAACGGCUCACCAAGGCCGUGAUGCAUAGCCGACCUGAGAGGGUGAUCGGCCACAUUGGGACUGAGACACGGCCCAAACUCCUACGGGAGGCAGCAGUAGGGAAUCUUCCGCAAUGGACGCAAGUCUGACGGAGCAACGCCGCGUGAGUGAAGAAGGUUUUCGGAUCGUAAAACUCUGUUGUUAGAGAAGAACAAGUGCUAGAGUAACUGUUAGCGCCUUGACGGUAUCUAACCAGAAAGCCACGGCUAACUACGUG